rnacentral:rRNA from 1 species
AUAGCCUAACGGCUGAACCAGCGAUUUGGAGGAACGUACAUUAACAUUUGGGAUAUAAUUUGAAUAAAGUUCUAGAUAUAAUAAUGAUAAUGACAAUUUUAUAUCUAAAUGUCUUGACCAAAUCACGUGCCAGCAGUCGCGGUAAGACGUGGAAGACUAGUGUUAUUCAUCUUUAAUAGGUUUAAAGGGUACCUAGAUGGUAUAAUCUUGCCUGGGAAGGGAACAGAUUUACUGGAGUUUUAUGUGAGGAGGGGAGUAUUUUUGGUGUAGAGAUGAAAUUUUUUGAUACCAUUAGGACUGGUAAAGGCGAAGGCAACCUCCUAUGUAAAAACUGACGUUGAGGGACGAAGGCUUUGGUAACGAACAGGAUUAGAUACCCCAGUAGUCUUGGCAGAAAACGCUGAAUGCCAUAGGUUAGUGAACAACAUUGGCCUAUAAAUGAAAGUGUAAGCAUUCCACCUCAAGAGUAAUGCGGCAACGCAGAAACUGAAAUCAUUAGACCGUUUCUGAGACCAGUAGUGAAGUAUGUUAUUUAAUUCGAUGAUCCACGAAAAACCUUACCACAACUUGAAUAUUGAGUGACAAGAAGCUUGGAUUUAAAACAAGUUUCUAGUUGGCGGCCGCCUCUGUAUUAUGAUUUUAAAUAAUUGUUACCUGAGGCGGAGCUUUCGCCGGAAAAUUUAUUUUUACUUCUCUUUACAAGCGUUGCACGGCUGUCUUCAGUUAAUGUCGUGAGAUUUUGGUUAGUUCCAUAAAAUUAACGUAAACCCUUACUUUAUUUAAACUUUCUAAUAUCCUAAAUAAGGAUAACAUAAAGUUGUUCCCCGCUAUAUUGGAUAUGAUAACAGGGACUAAGACAAGUCAUCAU